GCAGUCGAACGAUGGAAGCAGGAACGGGGUGGAUUAGUGGCGAACGGGUGAGUAACACGUGGGCAAUCUGCCCUGCACUUCGGGACAAGCCCUGGAAACGGGGUCUAAUACCGGAUACCCGCCGCCGCCCGCAUGGGCGGCGGCGGAAAGCUCCGGCGGUGCAGGAUGAGCCCGCGGCCUAUCAGCUGGUUGGUGAGGUAACGGCUCACCAAGGCGACGACGGGUAGCCGGCCUGAGAGGGCGACCGGCCACACUGGGACUGAGACACGGCCCAGACUCCUACGGGAGGCAGCAGUGGGGAAUAUUGCACAAUGGGCGCAAGCCUGAUGCAGCGACGCCGCGUGAGGGACGACGGCCUUCGGGUUGUAAACCUCUUUCAGCAGGGAAGAAGCGCAAGUGACGGUACCUGCAGAAGAAGCGCCGGCUAACUACGUGCCAGCAGCCGCGGUAAUACGUAGGGCGCGAGCGUUGUCCGGAAUUAUUGGGCGUAAAGAGCUCGUAGGCGGCCUGUCGCGUCGGUUGUGAAAGCCCGGGGCUCAACCCCGGGUCUGCAGUCGAUACGGGCAGGCUAGAGUGUGGUAGGGGAGAUCGGAAUUCCUGGUGUAGCGGUGAAAUGCGCAGAUAUCAGGAGGAACACCGGUGGCGAAGGCGGAUCUCUGGGCCGAUACUGACGCUGAGGAGCGAAAGCGUGGGGAGCGAACAGGAUUAGAUACCCUGGUAGUCCACGCCGUAAACGGUGGGAACUAGGUGUGGGCGACAUUCC
rnacentral:rRNA from 1 species